rnacentral:rRNA from 1 species
GAUUAUGGCUCAGGAUGAACGCUGGCGGCGUGCUUAACACAUGCAAGUCGAACGAAGCAACUAUCUUGCUGCAAGAGAGUUGACUUAGUGGCGGACGGGUGAGUAACGCGUGGGUAACCUGCCUCAUACAGGGGGAUAACAGUUGGAAACGACUGCUAAGACCGCAUAACCCGCUAGUGUCGCAUGACACGGACGGAAAAUAUUUAUAGGUAUGAGAUGGGCCCGCGUCUGAUUAGCUAGUUGGUAAGGUAACGGCUUACCAAGGCGACGAUCAGUAGCCGACUUGAGAGAGUGAUCGGCCACAUUGGGACUGAGACACGGCCCAAACUCCUACGGGAGGCAGCAGUGGGGAAUAUUGGACAAUGGGGGAAACCCUGAUCCAGCCGACGCCGCGUGAGUGAAGAAGUAUUUCGGUAUGUAAAGUCUCUAUCAGCAGGGAAGAUAAUGACAGUACCUGACUAAGAAGCCCCGGCUAACUACGUGCCAGCCGCCGC